rnacentral:lncRNA from 10 species
UGCAGUGUGGUGUUUGUUCUUUUGCUCUUUGCAAUAAAUCUUGUUGCUGCUCACUGUUUGGGUCUGCACUGCCUUUAUGAGCUGUAACACUUAUUGUGAAGGUCUGCAGGUUGACUCCUGAGGCCAGGGAGACCACGAACCCACCGGUAGGAAGAAACUCUGGACACAUCCGAACAUCAGAAGGAGCAAACUCCAGACACACCAUCUUUAAGAACUGCAACACUCACCGGAGGGUCCGCGGCUUCAUUGUUGAAGUCAGCGAGACCAAGAACCCACCAAUUCCAGAUGCAGUCUCACCUGUAUAUGGAAUUUAAUAAAGCCAGACUCAUGGAAGCAGAGAGUAGAGCAGAGGUUGCCAGAAGCUUGGAUUGGAGGAGAGAUUUGUGAUCUUACUUAGAUGAUGUGUGAGACAGUAAAUGAAAUGAGGAGCAUUCACUUAAAUGUUGCUGAGCAUUUCUGUCUUCUGGGCUCCAGUAUCUGAGAGUUGAUUAUGAGUUUCUUCUAAUAUCAUAAGAAUGAAGGCAUACAAACAUCUUGAAGUACAAUAUGAAAUUUGUAAGUAUUUCUAGUGAGACUGUGGGAGAAAGCCAAUAAUUGUUCCUGGCAAUAAAUGGAAUAUUAAAAAAAAAAAGCAACCGGCUGCUAUGAAUGGCAUCUAAAC